rnacentral:rRNA from 1 species
AUGGUGGGCAAUGGACACACAACACUCUUCUGGGAGGAUAGAUGGCUAAACGGCUAUAGGUUGCAGGAGCUGGCACCGCUCAUAUAUGGCAUGGUGUCAAAGCGGACGAGGGGCGUGAGAACGGUGGCUGAAGCUAUUCAGGAUGCAACUUGGGCGCGAGACGUGGGCCCGAACAUGGAUGACAUGGCAUUACUCCAGUUCCUUGAGGUGUGGCCGCAAGUGCAUAGCGUGGUUCUUGACCCACAGCAGCCGGAUCAGCUCAAGUGGUCAUGGGAGAAGGAUGGUGAUUUCUCGGCAAGAUCAACUUAUGCGGCCAAUUUCGCGGCCCUUCAAUGCUCACUGACGGCAACCUACACAUGGGCGUCGAAGACGCCCCUGCGCUGCCGCUUCUUUGCAUGGUUGGCUCUAAGGGAUAGAGUGUGGACAUCGGAUAGACUGGCAAGACGUGGACUGCCGCAUCAAGACGCAUGCCCCUUCUGUGAUCAAAGUGGCGAAACAAUCAACCAUCUCAUGACACAAUGCGUGUUCGCGAAGGAGGUUUGGACCAAGGUGGGUCAGGCAGUUGGCAUGACAGGCAUGACGCCAUCAGACGGUGACGAUCUAGUGACAUGGUGCACAAGGUCCAUCUUCUAG